GGGCGGAGCACUGGCCGCCGGCUCUUCGCGACCCGAGUCCCGUGUCCUGUCUCCCCAGCCACGGCCCCGAGACCCACGUGCAGCUGGUUGCAGACAUGCUCAAGGCUCUCCUCCGCAAGCUCCCUAAGAGGGCGGGGCCUGCAGCAGUCCCGG